rnacentral:rRNA from 1 species
UACGUAGGGGGCAAGCGUUGUCCGGAUUUAUUGGGCGUAAAGAGCGUGUAGGCGGCCAGACAGGUCCGUUGUGAAAACUCGAGGCUCAACCUCGAGAUGUCGAUGGAAACCGUCUGGCUAGAGUCCGGAAGAGGAGUGUGGAAUUCCUGGUGUAGCGGUGAAAUGCGCAGAUAUCAGGAGGAACACCUAUUGCGAAGGCAGCUCGCUGGGACGUAACUGACGCUGAGACGCGAAAGCGUGGGGAGCAAACAGG